UCAGUCUGAUGUGGCUUGGACGUGGGGCUUUGCAGGCUUUGAAUGAAGUCUGCUUCCCUGAAAUGAAUUAGUGGUAUCUGAGCUGCCAAUAGGUGUGAUAAUUAUCUACUUCUUUUGGUCAUGCUGGUUGUGCUGCUUCUAACAAACACUUGUUUGACAAAUUUGACCUCAAAUCAGGUAGGACUACCCGCUGAACUUAA
rnacentral:misc_RNA from 1 species